rnacentral:rRNA from 1 species
GAUGAACGCUGGCGGCGUGCCUAACACAUGCAAGUCGAACGAAGCACUUGAACUCGAAUUCUUCGGAAGGAAGGUUCUCGUGACUGAGUGGCGGACGGUGAGUAACGCGUGGGUAACCUGCCUCAUACAAGGGGAGUAACAGUUAGAAAUAGGCUGCUAAUACCGUAUAAGACCACAGCACCGCAUGGUGCGGUGGUAAAACUACCGGUGGUAUGAGAUGGACCCGCGUCUG